UAAUACGGAGGGUGCAAGCGUUAUCCGGAUUCACUGGGUUUAAAGGGUGCGUAGGUGGGCAGGUAAGUCAGUGGUGAAAUCUCCGAGCUUAACUCGGAAACUGCCAUUGAUACUAUCUGUCUUGAAUUAUCUGGAGGUGAGCGGAAUAUGUCAUGUAGCGGUGAAAUGCUUAGAUAUGACAUAGAACACCAAUUGCGAAGGCAGCUCACUACGGAUAUAUUGACACUGAGGCACGAAAGCGUGGGGAUCAAACAGGAUUAGAUACCCUGGUAGUCCACGCCCUAAACGAUGGAUACUCGACAUCAGCGAUACACUGUUGGUGUCUGAGCGAAAGCAUUAAGUAUCCCACCUGGGAAGUACGAUCGCAAGAUUG
rnacentral:rRNA from 1 species